rnacentral:rRNA from 1 species
UACGUAGGUGGCAAGCGUUGUCCGGAAUUAUUGGGCGUAAAGCGCGCGCAGGCGGUCCCUUAAGUCUGAUGUGAAAGCCCACGGCUCAACCGUGGAGGGUCAUUGGAAACUGGGGGACUUGAGUACAGAAGAGGAAAGCGGAAUUCCACGUGUAGCGGUGAAAUGCGUAGAGAUGUGGAGGAACACCAGUGGCGAAGGCGGCUUUCUGGUCUGUAACUGACGCUGAGGCGCGAAAGCCGUGGGGAGCAAACAGG